ACUCCUACGGGAGGCAGCAGUGGGGAAUUUUGGACAAUGGGCGAAAGCCUGAUCCAGCAAUGCCGCGUGCAGGAUGAAGGCCUUCGGGUUGUAAACUGCUUUUGUACGGAACGAAAAAGCUUCUCCUAAUACGAGAGGCCCAUGACGGUACCGUAAGAAUAAGCACCGGCUAACUACGUGCCAGCAGCCGCGGUAAUACGUAGGGUGCGAGCGUUAAUCGGAAUUACUGGGCGUAAAGCGUGCGCAGGCGGUUAUGUAAGACAGAUGUGAAAUCCCCGGGCUCAACCUGGGAACUGCAUUUGUGACUGCAUGGCUAGAGUACGGUAGAGGGGGAUGGAAUUCCGCGUGUAGCAGUGAAAUGCGUAGAUAUGCGGAGGAACACCGAUGGCGAAGGCAAUCCCCUGGACCUGUACUGACGCUCAUGCACGAAAGCGUGGGGAGCAAACAGGAUUAGAUACCCUUGUAGUCCUGAGU
rnacentral:rRNA from 1 species